GCGGUGGUUUCUUGUGUUGAUUACCUAAUCGAUGGCAUUGUUUGUCCCCAUUAGUUGGAUUUUGUAACACGUUGCUUGCGGCGUGAUACAAACAAUGAAGCAACCUUUGUUGUUCAACCUGUUGCUGCUCAUGCAUCGAUGGCUUGGCCCAUGAAGUGUUGAUUGGUCCCUUGGAUAUGGAACAUGAUGUGGGCACAAGUUUGUCAAAGAUCUUGUAUUUGCCCUAUUGAGUGAUUUAGCUUCUUUAAAUGACUGUCGUCCAUGUAUCGUCAAGUCGGUGUAUGGAGGAUUGUGUCAAACAGAA
rnacentral:misc_RNA from 1 species